rnacentral:rRNA from 1 species
AUUGAACGCUGGCGGCCGGCUUAACACAUGCAAGUAGAACGAGUGGCGGACGGGUGCGUAAUGCUUGGGAAUCUAGCUUAUGGAGGGGGAUAACUACGGGAAACUGUAGCUAAUACCGCGUACCAUAGGAUGAGCCCAAGUGGGAUUAGGUAGUUGGUGAGGUAAAGGCUCACCAAGCCGACGAUCUCUAGCUGGUCUUAGAGGAUGACCAGCCACACGGAGACGGAGACACGGCCCAGACUCCUACGGGAGGAAGCAGGGGGGAAGAGUGCGCAUGGGGGGAAAGCUGAUCCAGCCAUGCCGCGUGUGUGAGGAAGGUCUUCGGAUUGUAAGGCACUUUAAGUUGGGAGGCGUUACCAACAGAAUAAGCACCGGCUAACUUCGUGCCAGCAGCCGCGGUAAUAC